rnacentral:rRNA from 1 species
AGUGAACGCUGGCGGUAGGCCUAACACAUGCAAGUCGAACGGCAGCACAGUAAGAGCUUGCUCUUACGGGUGGCGAGUGGCGGACGGGUGAGGAAUACAUCGGAAUCUACUUUUUCGUGGGGGAUAACGUAGGGAAACUUACGCUAAUACCGCAUACGACCUACGGGUGAAAGCAGGGGAUCUUCGGACCUUGCGCGAUUGAAUGAGCCGAUGUCGGAUUAGCUAGUUGGCGGGGUAAAGGCCCACCAAGGCGACGAUCCGUAGCUGGUCUGAGAGGAUGAUCAGCCACACUGGAACUGAGACACGGUCCAGACUCCUACGGGAGGCAGCAGUGGGGAAUAUUGGACAAUGGGCGCAAGCCUGAUCCAGCCAUACCGCGUGGGUGAAGAAGGCCUUCGGGUUGUAAAGCCCUUUUGUUGGGAAAGAAAAGCAGCAGGUUAAUACCCCGCUGUUCUGACGGUACCCAAAGAAUAAGCACCGGAUAACUUCGUG